UCAUGUUUUAGACAUGAGGAUUUUUCUCCCGUAAAUCCCAAGUCUGAUGGUGUUGAACACUGUCUGCCUGAGAAACUGGUGAAGAAGCCCGAACUCAGUAAUCCAACUGAUGUUAAAAAGGAUUGGAUAUCAAAUCUUCGAGAGGCUGCAGAUGUUGUGUUCCGGGCAAUGGGGAGCCGAUGGACUGUACCCUGGACAGCGGAGACCAUAAUGCAGGUGAUGCUUCUCUGGGUUGUCUCAUUCUGGUUUAUAGGUUCCUGGGUGAUUCCUUUUGCGGCCCACAUGGCAGGUGUCAGCAAGGAAUCUCUUACAUUUAGAGGACAGGCCUUGUUCAGCCUUGUGACUGAUGUAAC
rnacentral:misc_RNA from 1 species